AGAGUUUGAUCCUGGCUCAGGAUGAACGCUGGCGGCGUGCUUAACACAUGCAAGUCGAACGGAAAGGCCUCAGCUUGCUGGGGUGCUCGAGUGGCGAACGGGUGAGUAACACGUAGGUGAUCUGCCUUUCACUUCGGGAUAAGCUUGGGAAACUGGGUCUAAUACCGGAUAUUCACGGCACCGUGGUUGGUGUGGUGGAAAGCUUUUGCGGUGGGAGAUGAGCUUGCGGCCUAUCAGCUUGUUGGUGGGGUAAUGGCCUACCAAGGCGGCGACGGGUAGCCGGCCUGAGAGGGUGUGCGGCCACAUUGGGACUGAGAUACGGCCCAGACUCCUACGGGAGGCAGCAGUGGGGAAUUUUGCACAAUGGGCGGAAGCCUGAUGCAGCGACGCCGUGUGGGGGAUGAAGGCCUUCGGGUUGUAAACUCCUUUCGUCAGGGACGAAGUUUGUUUGACGGUACCUGGAUAAGAAGCACCGGCUAACUACGUGCCAGCCGCCGCGGUAA
rnacentral:rRNA from 1 species